CUAUCUGCAGUCGACGAUCUUGUUUAGGAGCUUGCUCCUGAACUUGGUUAGUGGCGGACGGGUGAGUAACACGUAGGCAACCUGCCCACAAGAUCGGGAUAACAUUCGGAAACGAAUGCUAAGACCGGAUAAACAAUGCGGCCGCAUGGCUGGAUUGGGAAACACGGUGUAAGCUGUGGCUUGUGGAUGGGCCUGCGGCGCAUUAGCUAGUUGGUGGGGUAAAGGCUCACCAAGGCGACGAUGCGUAGCCGACCUGAGAGGGUGAACGGCCACACUGGGACUGAGACACGGCCCAGACUCCUACGGGAGGCAGCAGUAGGGAAUCUUCCACAAUGGGCGAAAGCCUGAUGGAGCAACGCCGCGUGAGUGAGGAAGGCUUUCGGGUCGUAAAGCUCUGUUGCCAGGGAAGAAUACGGAUCCAGUUCACUGCUGGUCUGAUGACGGUACCUGAGAAGAAAGCCCCCGGCUAAACUACGUGCCAGCAGCCGCGGUAAUACGUAGGGGGGGCCAAGCGUUGUCCGGAAUUAUUUGGGCGUAAAGCGCGCGCAGGCCGGUUCUUUAAGUCUGGUGUCUAAGUGCGGGGGCUCAACCCCCGUGAUGCACUGGAAACUGGGGGAACUUGAGUGCAGAAGAGGAGAGCGGAAUUCCACGUGUAGCGGUGAAAUGCGUAGAGAUGUGGAGGAACACCAGUGGCGAAGGCGGCUCUCUGGACUGUAACUGACGCUGAGGCGCGAAAGCGUGGGGGAGCAAACAGGAUUAGAUACCCUGGUAGUCCACGCUGUAAACGAUGAGUGCUAGGUGUUGGGGGGUAUCAUGCCCCUCGGUGCCGAAAGUUAACACAUUAAGCACUCCGCCCUGGGGGAGUACGGUCGCAAGACUGAAAACUCAAAAGGAAAUUGGACGGGGGCACCCCGCACAAGCAGUGGAGUAUGUGGGUUUUAAAUUUCGAAGCAACGCGGAAGAACCUUUACCAGGUCUUGACAUCCCCUCUGACCGUCCUAGAGAUAUGGCUUUCCUUCAGGAACAGAGGAAGACAGGGUUGGUGCAUGGUUGUCGUCAGCUCGUGUCGUGAGAUGUUGGGUUAAGUCCCGCAACGAGCGCAACCCUUGAACUUAGUUGCCAGCACUUUGGGUGGGCACUCUAGGUUGACUGCCGGUGACAAACCGGAGGAAGGCGGGGAUGACGUCAAAUCAUCAUGCCCCUUAUGACCUGGGCUACACACGUACUACAAUGGCCGGUACAACGGGCUGCGAAACCGCGAGGUGGAGCCAAUCCCAACAAAGCCGGUCUCAGUUCGGAUUGCAGGCUGCAACUCGCCUGCAUGAAGUCGGAAUUGCUAGUAAUCGC
rnacentral:rRNA from 1 species